GGUCAACGGAAGGCCCACGGAGGGCCUAGUCUUCCAGGAGGUGCUCAAUCUACUGCGAGGGCCCCCCCAGGAUAUUACACUCCUCCUCUGCCGGCCGCCUCCAGGUGUGCUGCCCGAGAUGGAGCCAGGGUGGCAGACACCAAUGGACAAAGAAUUCACCAGGGCAACCUGUACUGACUCAGAGCAGAGCCCCAGCCUGGACCAGGAGGACAGCUGGAGGGACAGCACCUCCCCAGAGGCAGGAGAGGACCUGGCUCUUGGAGAGGCACAAGGGAGUCGAGACACGGACAGACCGAGGGCCAGGUCCUUGGCUCUUCCCUUGGAGUCCCAUCCUCACCUAUGCCAACGUCACCGAGAGACAGAGGUGCCAUCCCCGGCCAGCCCUUUGGAGCAGGAUAUGAGACAGAACUGCUAUUCUGUGUGUGACAUCAGGAGACUUGGCAGGGACCCUGUUGAAGGAGACACGUGCUAUCCACCAGAAGCCCUCUCCAUCUCCUGGGAGGACAAAGAGUACCUGACCAUCCGCUGUGCGUGCGAAGAUCAGCUGCCCUGUGGAGACUGUCUGGAGGUGGACUCGGGGACCAUCCCAUUGCCACAGUUCUGUCCUGGGCACACUUGUCCACGGUCCUGGCCUCUGGAAGCGAGUCAGGGGAGUGAGAGUGAAUGGGAAGACCUGGAGGAGGCCGAGGACACAGUGACGCUGCCCUCAGGUGGACACAGAGCAGACAGUCUCCUGGGGCAGGACCUCGGGGUUUCUGUUUGGUGAUCCCUGUGGUGGAUGAGACCUCAGAUGGCUUUGGUCCAGGGAAUGUGCCCACCAGCUCUGUCACCAGGAAAGGAGACGCCUUGGGAAGAGCCACUGGCCGCGGUGUUAAGGGCUAAUUCUAAAGGAGGUGGCCUGCCAUCUCUGGGGCUCGUUGUGAACAGCGCUGGGAUUCCCAUCAAGGGAAGUUCUGUGUGUGUGCUGGGCUGCGGGAUGGGGGUUCUCCUGGAGAAAGGAGUUGGGAACCAACCUCUUCAUCAAGGCGCCUUGGGCAAGGGCCUGGUACACACUUCCUGGAUGCAUGCAGCUUCCCCAUUCGCGGAUGGAGUUUCUAGGGUUCUCACAGUGCCCCCGUUUGCUGUGAGGAACCUGUUCAGGGGUUUUGUGUAAAACCCCUGGGGAAACCUGUUUUGAUACUCUUCUGCAUCCUUCCUAUACAACUCCAGACAGUUAUAUAUUCCUUUAAAGUGAUUUUUCUUUUUUACUUAACACAUUGGUCCUAAUGAUUAUAUGAAGAAAAAUAAUAUGGGAAUAUUGGGGUUUCUUAUCGAGACAGGAAAUUGAACUCAGGACCUCACGCUUGCCAGGCAGGUGCUCAUACCGCUGAGCUAAAUCCCUGGCCCCUUUAUGGGAAUAUUGAGAAAUGCAAAAUAGUAGAUCCAGCAUGCUCUUAAGACAGAUGACUGUCACCAUGACAAGAAUUAAGCCAUAUAAUUAGCCAGGAAUAUGGCUCAGCAGUGCAGCCCCUGCCUGGCAAGCGUUAGGGUCAUGAGUUCGAUUCCUGAUACCCCUUACCCCCAAAAUUAAACCAUGUGAAUUUGCAAAGGCACAAAAUAAGUAGACCUGGAACAUACUUGGCACCAUGGGAACCGAACCGUCUUAUUUUAGAUUUCCUCAAGCUUCAGGGCUUCACAAUUAGGGCAUUAACCAAGUAGGCAAUGGAGUGAAUACGUGACCGUGUUUACCAUUUUGAACUCUGGUUGCUUUUUUCUGCCCUGGAGAAGGAGUGAAUGAUACAGAAUCAAAUGGAACGAGUGCCCUCCUUGGCAGCUUGGUUUCGGGGCCAAUGUCAGGAAGGAUGGUGCCUCCCAGGGCACACUGCACCCCUGCACCCUGCACCCCGCACCCCGAGCACUGCUUCCACUUCCUCCAAACACCCUCAAACCUGCCCAUGUGUGAGAAUCAACUUCGGGGAUGGGGGGCAGAUUACCUCGCCCUACGCCUGAGGUUUUGAAUCGGUAGGACUUGGGAUGAAGCCCAGAAAUAAGUCAUUUUUUAAGGCUUAGCAGAUGAUUGUUUGUAUGACCAGAUUUGGGGGCCAGUGGACCAGAAUCUUUAAGCUUUCCCUUGCUCUCCUUCCCUUCUAUGAAUAUUUAGUAAGUCCCUGCUAUGUGCUAGCACGCUAUUGGAAUGAGGUUGUCGAUACACCUAUGUAUUCAGCAUCAAAUUGUAGUGCAAAAGUGAACUAAUCAAUUGAAAAUAAUAAAGAUGUCACUGCUCCCAAAUUAAUUUAUAGGGCCAAUUCAAUUCUCAUCACAACCCCAGCAACAUGUCCUGUAGUCAUGAGCAGCUUUUUCUGAAGUUCAUUGUACAAAAAAUUAGAGAAAGCCUUUGAGAUCUAAGAUUAAGUAAAGAGUUGUUUGACUUGACACAAAAAGCAUGAUCUAUAAAGGUUUUCUUUUAAAGCUUCCAGCCAGAGGAGUAAAGAUAACUUACAAAGUAACAAAAAGUAUUCAGAAACCAUAUAUCCAACAAAGAACUGAUAGCUAGUGUCUUGAUUACUUUUCUUGUUGCUGAGACAAAAUAUCUGACACCCAAAGUUAAAGGAGGAGAGAUUUAUUUUGGCUCACAUUUUGUAAAGGUUUUAGUUCAUAAUCAAGUGCCUCCAAAGCACGGUGGCAUGGCAGAGGGGCCUCACAGAGGAGAAACUGUUCAUGGCAGGCAGCAGACAGCAAAGCCAGCAAGCACCAACAUCAAGUGAUGCAGCCAACAAUGACUGAAGCCCCCUUUCUGUCCCUUGUAUUCUAUCCAGGAUGCACACCCUUAGGGAGUAUCGCACUCACACCCAAGUUGGGUUUUCCCAUUAUCCACACUCACUUCUGCAAAGCCCCACCUAUGACCACAUGAGUCUUUGGGGGAAAAAUCUACACACAAGGCAUAAUAUCUAGUAUGCGUCAAGAACUCUCAAAACUCAACAGAAAAAAGAAAUGCAGUCAGAAAACUAGAGGACACUAACAGACAUUUCACUGCAGAUGAUAUAGAUAUGUGUGCAAAUAAAUACAUGGAAAGAUGUUAGGGUUAGGGUUAGGGUUAGCUAAUGGAACUGGAGUUUUGUUAGCCACUGGACAAAUGCAAACUAAGCCAUGGCAAAAUAUCAUUACACAAGUAAAGCAAAUGGGCACCACAGCCAAAGUGGUGAGAAUGCAGAGAAAAUGAAUGGCUUAUGCAUUGCUAGAAGUGGUGUAAAAUAGUGCGUCCAGUCUGGAAAGUGUGACAGCAGCUUGCUAUGGUAUGUGUCUAGAUGACUCCUCAUAGCCUCAUGCAGUCAUGGGUAGGGCAAAGGCCUUUUUGCAGGUAGCUGAGUCUGUGACUGACUCAUAGUGCUGGGAUUAAGGCUGAGUGGCUGCUGGACCAGUCCACUGACUGGAUUGGCACUGCCCUAAUCCCAGAAGUCUGGAUAAGAUGAAAGAGGCUUCUUUCCUCCUUUUCCCCCUUGCUGGCUGGUUUUUCUGUUUUCCACCACUGUGAAUGGUCGCCCUUCUGCCAUAUGCCACCCUGCCGUGGAGCCACUUGACUAUGGACUGAAUUCUGUAAAAACUGUGAGCUAAAUAAACCUUUCUCCCUUUGACUUUGGGUGUUGGGUAUUUUGUCUCAGUGGUCAAGGAAAAGUAACUAAGACAUAGCUUGCAAGACCAGGCAUGCAAUUAGCACAGGAUCUAGCAACGGCACCCUACAUGUUUAACCUGGAAAGAUUAAAAUAUAUAUUUACAGAAAAACCUUUACACAAAUAUGCAUAGCAAAUUUAUUCCUAACAUGUCCUAGACUGGGAACAAGCCAAGAUUCUUCAAGCAAUGAACGAUGCAACAAAAUACGGGGCUCCAUAAGGGAAGGAGCGAACCUUGAUAAAUACAACAGUGUGGAUGGAAUGCUAGGGAAUUACAUCGAGCAAUAGAAACCAACCCCAACACUAUCAAGAGGUAGCACAAGUCUGAUUCCAUUUAUUAAGCAGCCUUAAAAAGACAAAGUUGUAAAAACAGAACAGAUUAGUGGUUGCUAGGGGCUAAGGAGGCUGGAG
rnacentral:lncRNA from 1 species